CAGUAGCCACGGGAAUACGAAGGGUGCAAGCGUUACUCGGAAUUACUGGGCGUAAAGCGUGCGUAGGUGGUGGUUUAAGUCCGUUGUGAAAGCCCUGGGCUCAACCCGGGAAUUGCAGUGGAUACUGGGUCACUAGAGUGUGGUAGAGGAUAGUGGAAUUUCCGGUGUAGCAGUGAAAUGCGUAGAGAUCGGAAGGAACAUCUGUGGCGAAGGCGACUAUCUGGGCCAACACUGACACUGAGGCACGAAAGCGUGGGGAGCAAACAGGAUUAGAUACCCCUGUAGUCCCUGUCUCUUAUAC
rnacentral:rRNA from 1 species